ACUGUUAGGAAAUCGAGAGAUGUCAUCGGGGGCCUGGGAAGAGUUAUCUUUUCUUUUUAAUGACUUUCCCACCCUGAAUUGGUUCAAUCAGAGAUAGGGUCCAACAUAUGGAAGAGAACCACACAUCUUGUGGUGUUUGUUUCCCCCUCAACGACCAUUGAAAAUAUGGAGAACUUAGUACCAUCCAUGCCCGAUCGUAGUCAUAUCUGCCUCAAAUUUUC
rnacentral:ncRNA from 1 species